CCUCUGUUCCGGAGGCCCUCGAAGGAGGCCGCCGGCGCCCUGGCACACAUUUCUUAAGACACUUCAUUUCUUCUCUCCUCCGAGUUCCCCACUGAGAAUGUUAUGAUUUCACCAGAUCUCGUCCCGGAUAAAAUUGAUCAGUUCCUGACUGAGUGACCUGGGGCAAGCUCCUGUUUCAUCGUGGAGCGCACAUUCUGUGCCAGACACCGUUAAACCCUCGGAUUACCACGAGAUACAGUGGCAGCCUGCAAGGAGUUUACAGUCAAUUGGGGAGGCAGACUGAAAGGUCCUGAUUUUCCGAUUGGUGGUUCUGACUGUCGAUUACUCUUUUCCUUUAGAGUUUAAACGAAAGACCAGGAGGACCCAAAAGAAACACUAAGCCGCACCUCUAUGGACGGACAGUAUUGGCGGUCUACCUUGGGGGAUACAGGGAUGAAUGGGAGAGUUAUUGCCUUCAGGAAGCCCACAGCCUAGGGAUACAUACACUAUGCUUGCAGCUCACAUCGAACACUUUUCCAAUAUGUUCCUCUGGUAGGUUCUGGGUUCAAGAGACAGUUAAUGUGUCUAACUACAGGUGAAAUGCUAUGGAGGUUCAGGAGAAGUUAAAUUAUUUAUGAGUUGGGUAUCUCGGGAAACUUCCUGGAGGAGGUGGCCUUCACUUUGUAAUUUGGAAAAUAGGUAGAAUUGGAGCAUUGGAAGUGUAUUGGGGAGUCAUGGGGCUGGGGAGGAUGGAAGUACCUAUGGCAUUAAAGGCCCAGACUCUGGAACUUGAGGUCCUUAUUCAGGGAACUAGGUUGGGAGCCCAGGGUCUGUGACAGACAGGAGUACAAGAAGCAGCUGGAGGAGACCAGGUCAUAAGACCCUUAAAUAUCUUGGCAGAGAACUUUGGGCCUUAUAUUUAGACAGUGGAAGCCAUGAAAUGUCCUUGAGCAGAGAAGGGAUGUCAGGGUUCUGGUUUAGAAAUAUGGCUCUGGCAGAAGUAUGGAGAGUAGAGUGCAGGAUUUGGUGGCAGAGAGGCCAGGUAGGAGGUUCAAGCCAGUUAAGUAGGUUCCUAAGUGACAGGUGUAGACUGACCCUGGAAGCACCUGCCUAGAACCAGCUCAUCUGGGCAUUGACUGUGCACUGUCCAGUGAUCAGAGUUCAGCAGAAACCUGCCUACCCUUUAAAGCAAUGUUCCCAGUUCCACCACCAUCUGGAGUCUAAAUAAGGAAUCAUUGUGGCUCUGACCAUAUUUACCUUCCAAGUCUCAUUGCUACUUUCCAGGAGAGCCCCGAAGUUUGCAGCCAAACCUUUACCUCAUUGCAGGCUUCAUUUACUCAUUCUUGCCCCUUGGGCUAUUCUCCAUGGGAUUUUUUUUUUUUUUUUAACAGUGCAAAAUGGGCUAUGUCCUAUCUUGUUCUGAAGAAAUGUUGAACAAUGCCUCCUUUGAUGACCUGCAAGCUGGGCCAAUAGAUUCCCUGCAGCCUGCCAGAGACGUGGUAGCUGCCCUGCCAAGAGCUAUCCUGGGAGGGCUAUUGAAAGAGCCUGGAAAUCUGGAAUCUCGAAAGUUCCUGUGACCAAAAAAGGUUAAGGAAAGCCGAUCCCAGACAAUCUCCUCUUGCAAGUGAGUCCCGUAGCCUCAAAGAGGGAAACGGACUUGCUUAAGGGCCCACAGAAACAUUAGGCCAGAGCCGGGGCCUGCUCAGAGCUCUU